UACGUAGGGAGCAAGCGUUGUCCGGAAUCAUUGGGCGUAAAGCGCGCGUAGGUGGCCCCGUAAGUCCGCUGUGAAAGUCAAAGGCUCAACCUUUGAAAGCCGGUGGAUACUGUGGGACUAGAGUACGGAAGAGGCGAGUGGAAUUCCUGGUGUAGCGGUGGAAUGCGCAGAUAUCAGGAGGAACACCAAUAGCGAAGGCAGCUCGCUGGGACGUUACUGACACUGAGGCGCGAAAGCGUGGGGAGCAAACAGG
rnacentral:rRNA from 1 species